rnacentral:rRNA from 1 species
UACGGGGGGUGCGAGCGUUGUUCGGAUUUACUGGGCGUAAAGGGCGCGUAGGCGGCCACUCAAGUCGAACGUGAAAACUCGGGGCUCAACCCCGAGCCCGCGUUCGAUACUGGGCGGCUAGAGUCUGGUAGGGGGAUCUGGAAUUCCUGGUGUAGCGGUGGAAUGCGCAGAUAUCAGGAGGAACACCGGUGGCGAAGGCGGGAUCCUGGGCCAGUACUGACGCUGAGGUGCGAAAGCGUGGGGAGCAAACAGG